CUGAGGCUCUCACUGAGACAAUAAGGAAGAAUAAUGAGAAGAAUGAGAAAAGACCAGCGCCCCCACCCCACAAGAAUAACCAGGUUGUAUGAGGUUGAACCAUGAAACGACUAACAAAAUAACUUGUAUGCACCUCUCCCAGUGAUGCUUGAGUUCAAGACCGGCUUCGCAGGAAAAGAAGAAAGUGAGAUCCUCUUGUAAUUUCAUUUCCUAUUUUUCUGUUUCGCUCCAACCCUGGAAAAUUCUCUGUGACCUUCAUCUGUGACACACAAGAGCUUACUGCAUUGGCUGAAGCCAAGUCCUGUCUCUUUACAGAUACAACAAAAAAACUGGGAGCCCUCUCCCCAGGAAGCCUCCAUUGAAUACAUCUGCUGGCCCACUCCUCCUGCCCUCAGCGGCCUCGCUGCCCCCCACCCCAUGUGCAUAUGUGGAGUUGUGGCCUCUCUGCAGGGCAAUCUGGAAAGGGGCAGGAAAAUGCAAACCACGUUGCUCAAAUGUCUCCAGGCGCCCAUUGGAAAACACCUACGCGGAAGAGAUCAUGGAUGCUCUUAUUUUUUUGGUGCACACAGUCUUCACAACAGAUGUACACUUCAGUGAAAUAGUCCCGCACUGUAAAAAAGAAAGAAAGAAAAGCAAAAAGAAAUAUUCAUUUCAAAACCAAUGUAGUCAUUGCUCUAAGUUAUACCAUAACCCAGUUUGAAAUAGGACGGGAAGCAAUCCACUAAUAUUUUGAUCUAUUGCUAAAUUCAAGUUCAGAAAUUUAAAUGCCUUAUAGCUCAUUAUGUGAAGACCAUCUUUGGCCAUUAUAUUUAGAAUAAGUACCUGGUUAUCAA
rnacentral:lncRNA from 1 species